rnacentral:rRNA from 1 species
GAUGAACGCUGGCGGCGUGCCUAAUACAUGCAAGUCGAGCGAACAGACGAGGAGCUUGCUCCUCUGACGUUAGCGGCGGACGGGUGAGUAACACGUGGAUAACCUACCUAUAAGACUGGGAUAACUUCGGGAAACCGGAGCUAAUACCGGAUAACAUGUUCAACCGCAUGGUUCAACAGUGAAAGACGGUCUUGCUGUCACUUAUAGAUGGAUCCGCGCCGCAUUAGCUAGUUGGUAAGGUAACGGCUUACCAAGGCAACGAUGCGUAGCCGACCUGAGAGGGUGAUCGGCCACACUGGAACUGAGACACGGUCCAGACUCCUACGGGAGGCAGCAGUAGGGAAUCUUACGCAAUGGGCGAAAGCCUGACGGAGCAACGCCGCGUGAGUGAAGAAGGUCUUCGGAUCGUAAAACUCUGUUAUUAGGGAAGAACAAAUGUGUAAGUAACUAUGCACGUCUUGACGGUACCUAAUCAGAAAGCCACGGCUAACUACGUG